AGUGAACGCUGGCGGUAGGCCUAACACAUGCAAGUCGAACGGCAGCACAGUAAGAGCUUGCUCUUACGGGUGGCGAGUGGCGGACGGGUGAGGAAUACAUCGGAAUCUACUUUUUCGUGGGGGAUAACGUAGGGAAACUUACGCUAAUACCGCAUACGACCUACGGGUGAAAGCAGGGGAUCUUCGGACCUUGCGCGAUUGAAUGAGCCGAUGUCGGAUUAGCUAGUUGGCGUGGUAAAGGCCCACCAAGGCGACGAUCCGUAGCUGAUCUGAGAGGAUGAUCGGCCACACUGGAACUGAGACACGGUCCAGACUCCUACGGGAGGCAGCAGUGGGGAAUAUUGGGCAAUGGGCGCAAGCCUGAUCCAGCCAUACCGCGUGGGUGAAGAAGGCCUUCGGGUUGUAAAGCCCUUUUGUUGGGAAAGAAAAGCAGCAGGUUAAUACCCCGCUGUUCUGACGGUACCCAAAGAAUAAGCACCGGCUAACUUCGUG
rnacentral:rRNA from 1 species